GAUCCUGGCCUCAGGAUGAACACUAGCGGCAGGCUUAACACAUGCAAGUCGAGGGGCAGCAUAAUGGAUAGCAAUAUCUAUGGUGGCGACCGGCGCACGGGUGCGUAACGCGUAUGCAACCUACCUUUAACAGGGGGAUAACACUGAGAAAUUGGUACUAAUACCCCAUAAUAUCAUAGAAGGCAUCUUUUAUGGUUGAAAAUUCCGAUGGUUAGAGAUGGGCAUGCGUUGUAUUAG
rnacentral:rRNA from 1 species